rnacentral:rRNA from 1 species
GACGAACGCUGGCGGCGUGCUUAACACAUGCAAGUCGAACGGAAAGGCCCUGCUUGCAGGGUACUCGAGUGGCGAACGGGUGAGUAACACGUGGGUGAUCUGCCCUGCACUUCGGGAUAAGCUUGGGAAACUGGGUCUAAUACCGGAUAGGAGCCAUCUUUAGUGUGGUGGUUGGAAAGUUUUUUCGGUGUAGGUUGAGCUCGCGGCCUAUCAGCUUGUUGGUGGGGUAAUGGCCUACCAAGGCGGCGACGGGUAGCCGGCCUGAGAGGGUGUACGGCCACAUUGGGACUGAGAUACGGCCCAGACUCCUACGGGAGGCAGCAGUGGGGAAUAUUGCACAAUGGGCGCAAGCCUGAUGCAGCGACGCCGCGUGGGGGAUGAAGGCCUUCGGGUUGUAAACUCCUUUCGCUAGGGACGAAGCUUUUUUGUGACGGUACCUAGAGAAGAAGCACCGGCUAACUACGUG